rnacentral:siRNA from 1 species
CAAAUUCAUCCAGAUGAUUCA